rnacentral:rRNA from 1 species
GUAACAGGUCUUCGGAUGCUGACGAGUGGCGAACGGGUGAGUAAUACAUCGGAACGUGCCCGAGAGUGGGGGAUAACGAAGCGAAAGCUUUGCUAAUACCGCAUACGAUCUCAGGAUGAAAGCAGGGGACCGCAAGGCCUUGCGCUCACGGAGCGGCCGAUGGCAGGUUAGGUAGUUGGUGGGAUAAAAGCUUACCAAGCCGACGAUCUGUAGCUGGUCUGAGAGGACGACCAGCCACACUGGGACUGAGACACGGCCCAGACUCCUACGGGAGGCAGCAGUGGGGAAUUUUGGACAAUGGGCGCAAGCCUGAUCCAGCCAUGCCGCGUGCAGGAUGAAGGCCUUCGGGUUGUAAACUGCUUUUGUACGGAACGAAAAGACUCUGGUUAAUACCUGGGGUCCAUGACGGUACCGUAAGAAUAAGCACCGGCUAACUACGUGCCAGCAGCCGCGGUAAUACGUAGGGUGCGAGCGUUAAUCGGAAUUACUGGGCGUAAAGCGUGCGCAGGCGGUUAUAUAAGACAGAUGUGAAAUCCCCGGGCUCAACCUGGGAACUGCAUUUGUGACUGUAUAGCUAGAGUACGGCAGAGGGGGAUGGAAUUCCGCGUGUAACAGUGAAAUGCGUAGAUAUGCGGAGGAACACCGAUGGCGAAGGCAAUCCCCUGGGCCUGUACUGACGCUCAUGCACGAAAGCGUGGGGAGCAAACAGGAUUAGAUACCCUNNNAGUCCACGCCCUAAACGAUGUCAACUGGUUGUUGGGUCUUCACUGACUCAGUAACGAAGCUAACGCGUGAAGUUGACCGCCUGGGGAGUACGGCCGCAAGGUUGAAACUCAAANGAAUUGACGGGGACCCGCACAGCGGUGGNUGAUGUGGUUUAANUCGAUGCA